rnacentral:misc_RNA from 1 species
AGAGAGAGAGAGAGAGAGAGGCAGGUCUUUGCAUUCUGUGAGUGAAAUGCCUAACUCCAGCUAAUAUUUUAAGGACAAUAUCAGCAUGCCUUGUUCUGCCUGUCCCAUUUUGGAGUUUGAGAUUGUUCCUUAUAUUACUAAGGAAUAUCUUUGAUUAUUCCAUAUACUAUAAUUUAUUUGUGAAAACUCUUGGUACAAAUGUAUCAAAGGCAUUAGAAGUCAAUCUUUUCUUGGAAUAUUAAGUCAAUUUAGUUAUAGAAGAAUUAAA